rnacentral:rRNA from 1 species
UACGGAAGGUGCAAGCGUUAGUCGGAAUUACUGGGCGUAAAGGGUGCGUAGGCGGGAACGAACGUCAGUUGUGAAAUUCCGGGGCUCAACCCCGGAGCGGCAAUUGAAACGGCGUUUCUUGAGGGAUAGCGGAGAAAAUGGAAUUCCAUGUGUAGCGGUGAAAUGCGUAGAUAUAUGGAAGAACACCGGUGGCGAAAGCGAUUUUCUAGCUUAAACCUGACGCUGAGGCACGAGAGCAAGGGGAGCAAACAGG